rnacentral:rRNA from 1 species
CUGCCCACUGAUAAAAUUAAAGGGCCGCGGUAAUUUGACCGUGCAAAGGUAGCAUAAUCGUUAGUUUUUUAAUUGGAAUCUUGUAUGAAUGGCUGAACAAAAGAAUACCUGUCUCUAUACUUUUCUUGAAUUUAACUUUUAAGUGAAAAGGCUUAAAUAUUUUUAAAAGACGAUAAGACCCUGUAAAGCUUAAUAAAUCUCCCCAUUAAAUUAAAUUUUUUUAUAAAGGUUUAGUAGUUGAUAUUUAUUUUGUUGGGACGACAAUAAUAUAAUGUUCAUUAACUGUUUACGCUUGAAACAAUGUUAAUUGUUUUUCAUAAAUGAUCCCCUUUAGAGAUUAAAGUUUAAGUUACUUCAGGGAUAACAGCGUUAUUUUUUUUGAGAGUUCAUAUCGAAAAAAAAGUUUGCGACCUCGAUGUUGAAUUAAAAUUUCUUUAUAGUUGCAGAAGC